GAAACCGCUUAGAAGGAAACGGGUGGAGCCGAUGUCAGUCGGCGGGAUUCAGCGCACUCGGGAGCUGUCCUUCGGGAACUGGCCCGGUGCGUGCACUUCCCGUCGACGUGCGCCGGACACGACGAUCUGAGCCGCGCUUGCGCGGGGGAUAGAGGGCCGCCUUCGGGCGGUAUCCUGUCCUUCCUGUGUGCCUCUCCCGGGUCUCGGUCGUCGGUCUUCGGAAUAGCGGCGUUGGCCUCGCGCGACGCGCGUUCGCGCUCGGAGGAUCGAGCUGUCGGGUCUCUGCCCUGCAGGUUUCGACGAGUCUCCUUCGAGUCGGCGGGCGCGCGCUGCGCAACGCUGUCGUCCGGCGUCUCUCGGUCGGUAAACCACCCGACCCGUCUUGAAACACGGACCAAGGAGUCUAAGGUGUGCGCGAGUCAUUGGGCGAGUGAAACCCAAAGGCGUAUUGAGAGAGAAGACUGGUUCGGCCAGUUGACAUGGGAUCCGGUCGUCUCGUUGGGGCGGCCGGCGCACCAUGGCCCCGUCGCGAUUGCAUCGACAAUGCGGCGGAGGUGGAGCGCACACGUUGGUACCCGAAAGAUGGUGAACUAUGCCUGAGCAGGACGAAGUCAGAGGAAACUCUGAUGGAAGUCCGUAGCGGUUCUGACGUGCAAAUCGAUCGUCGGACUUGGGUAUAGGGGCGAAAGACUAAUCGAACCAUCUAGUAGCUGUUUCCCUUCCGAA
rnacentral:rRNA from 1 species